ACCAGACUCCUACGGGAGGCAGCAGUGGGGGAUAUUGCACAAUGGGGGAAACCCUGAUGCAGCGACGCCGCGUGAGUGAAGAAGUAUUUCGGUAUGUAAAGCUCUAUCAGCAGGGAAGAAGAAAGACGGUACCUGAGUAAGAAGCCCCGGCUAACUACGUGCCAGCAGCCGCGGUAAUACGUAGGGGGCAAGCGUUAUCCGGAUUUACUGGGUGUAAAGGGAGCGUAGACGGUAUGGCAAGUCUGAAGUGAAAGCCCCGGGCUCAACCUGGGAACUGCUUUGGAAACUGUUAAACUAGAGUGCUGGAGAGGCAGGCGGAAUUCCUAGUGUAGCGGUGAAAUGCGUAGAUAUUAGGAGGAACACCAGUGGCGAAGGCGGCCUGCUGGACAGUAACUGACGUUGAGGCUCGAAAGCGUGGGGAGCAAACAGGAUUAGAUACCCUAGUAA
rnacentral:rRNA from 1 species